rnacentral:rRNA from 1 species
UACCAGCACCCGAGUGGUCGGGACGAUUAUUGGGCCUAAAGCAUCCGUAGCCGGUCCUACAAGUCUUCCGUUAAAUCCACCUGCUUAACAGAUGGGCUGCGGAAGAUACUAUAGGGCUAGGAGGCGGGAGAGGCAAGGCGGUACUCAGUGGGUAGGGGUAAAAUCCUCUGAUCCAUUGAAGACCACCAGUGGCGAAGGCGGCUUGCCAGAACGCGCUCGACGGUGAGGGAUGAAAGCUGGGGGAGCAAACCGG